AAGAAAACUUGGUUCUAGUUUCUCUUUUAGCCUUAAUCUGUCUGCCACAUGCAAGUUAAUAGCGCACCAGCAGAGGAGCUCUAGUUAGGUUUUACCUAAGAGCUCAUAGCAUAAGUUAAUCAACAAAAGCAGAACUUAAUCUGCGGUCAGCAGUGCUUAACCUUAUAAAAUUUAGAACACUAAGAUAUAGACAAGAAUAAAAAGAGGUGGUUAAUACCGUGCCAGCAGCCGCGGUUAUACGUUAGCCUCAAGUUAAAAGGCCCCGGUUUAAAGAAGGGAAUACUUAAAAAAAUAAGAAGGAAGAAGAUUGAACAGUAACAAGUUAAAACCAUACCAAAUUUCUUAGUAAGUUUACCCAUAAAAGAGAGGGAUAAACUAGGAUUAGAUACCCUACUAUACUCUCCCCUCAAGAAGAACCACCAGAGCAAUACGGCUCUAAGCUAAAACUUAAAGAACUUGGCGGUUUUUUAGAUCUCCUUGGAGGAGCUUGUCAUUGAAUUGAUAACCCACAAGAGACCUCACCUCUUAAAGAAGAACAGCUUGUAUACCAUCGUCGUCAGCUCACCUCUAAAGAGUGUAAGCUAAAUGAAGAAAUCUCUUAACGUCAGAUCAAGGUGCAGCCAAUGAAGAGGGAAUAGAUGAGCUACCUUACUUAGGUAAUUGAGAAAGUAAAAUGAAACUUUUUACUGAAAAGGAUUCAACAGUAACAAAAUAGAUAAAGAUCUUGUAAAAAGAGCUCUAAAAUGCGCACACAUCGCCCGUCACUCUCCUCAAACGAGUAGAAAAGUCGUAACAUAGUAGGUGUACCGGAAGGUGCCACCUGGAAAAAC
rnacentral:ncRNA from 1 species